rnacentral:lncRNA from 1 species
GGAAAUGAAACCACCAAAUGAUACAAUUAUGGCGGAAGUUAAGGAGAUGUAACAAAAGGGAAGAAAUUUCAAGAAUACUAGACAUCCCCUUAAUAUAGUUACAAAUUAUUAUAUUAUAUAUAAAGCACAUAUCAUAGUCACCAACGUCAAUUAGGCUCCAACUUGGACUUCCUAUACCAGUGCUCCUUGAUGUGUUUCCAUUUCCUCGCAUAGGGAGUCCAACUCAAAAACAAUCUCAGCUUUAUUCCACUCAUGCUCUGUAAACAUCCCC